UAAACUUCAAAUAGAUGUUAAUAUUAUUUUUUCCCCUACAAGAGGUGUUUUAGAUGUUGCUUUCUAUUGCCAAGCUCUGGGGCAAUUUGUUACACAGCACUAGCUGACAGAUGUCUCUGACUUUAGUUUCAUUCCAACUCUUUGAUCUCAUGGGUGUUUUCUUGAGCCUCUCUGGGAAUGUGGUACGGAUACGUAAACAAACAAGAAGUGGAUCCCAGAUCUUGCAUUCAGACUCAGAACCACCUGCCAUCUAUGUCCGUGCUGGUUUUGUGGAGGGUAGUUGAAGGAAUCAAGACAGACUCCUGCAAUCACGUCUUUGCCACCUGGGGACAAGGUGGCUGCCCUCUGAGAAACACUUGGGAGGGGACACCUAUGGGUUAAAUCUGCCUGCUUUUUAGGGCUGGGGUUGUGGCUCAGCGGUAGAGCGCUCACCUGGCACGUGCCAGGCCCUGGGUUCGAUCCUCAGCACCACAUAAAAAUAAAUAAACAAAAUAAAGGUGUUGUGUCCAACUAAAAAAUACAUAUCAAAAAAAUAUUUGCCUGCUUUCACUAGAAGCUGCAUUUUCAAAAUCUCCUCAGACUGAGUGUGCCCCAUCCAGACAUUUUAUUGACUCAUGGAAAAAAUUUGUCUGGGAUGCCUGACUCCGAGGCUGAAGCAGAUAAAAUGAUUUAAAGAGUGGUUUUUCAUUGUGCGCAUACUCUCUGCUGGCGAUACUCAAUAACCAUUUUGCUUCUCACUGUUUUUUUUGUGAUGCCAACAGAGCAAACGCUACAAAUAUUAUGGGAAAUUGAAGUCACAAGCAGCAGGUGUGUAUCAUAAGAGCUUUUUUUCCCCCUCCCCUCACAAAUUUCUCUUGGGGCAUAAGAUGAAGAGUGUUUUGCGUCUGGUGAAAUCAAGCAGACACUGGGCAGAAGUCUCCUAUCAUGACAUUUUCCUCUCGGGGAUCUCAGGAUUUCCCUGAGUACUUUAAAUGACGACUCUCCUUGUUUCUGUUCUGCAUGCACAGGCGUUUUUUUUUUUUUAAAUUCUUGGAUGAGAAAUAAAAAGCUAUUACCGGGCUGGUCAAGUAAACAUCUCUAUGAAGAAAGAUCCCUUUGCAUUCCAGGCAGAGAGUUAUUCUACAAAGACAGCGCGUCUUUCUGCAACGCAUGGUUUAUCUUUUCAAAGACUCCAUCGAUCCCAAACUGAACAGCUCCUCUUGGCUUUCCAAGAGGUGGUGUCUUGCAGACAGGUGGCCGCUUGUGCCCUGAACGGAAGCCCCUCUGUGAGGAUUUCUUCGCGGCUCAGCUGAUGAGCUCCAAAGAUGCCUGCCAGGUCUCUUCAGGGGACGGAGCUCAGGGCUGCCUCUCACGGGCUGACGGGCAAAGAUUUCCGAGCUGAGAGGGCAGACGAGCUGUGCCCCACCAAACAGAGACCGUGGGGAGACUUUGGGGACAUUUGGGGACUGCUGUGGCUGCUUCCUCCCCAGAUCUGAUUGGGACACAAACACACAGUGAUCGUGGUGGGCGAAGCAGUCACUGGGUCUUACCCAAACGCGUUCCGACUCAGCCUGGCCCAGGGAUGGCGAUCCACUUUCAUCAUUUGGUGCAACGAAACCGCCUUCCGCCUCUGAGAGAAAUCAUCCUGCCCCUGACCUCCCGAGUCCGACUGAUUCCAUUUGCCAGCAGACGCCAUAGUUCCACUCUUUUUCAUGGCUGAGUAGCGCUCCUUUGUGCACAUUUUCCUGAUGCCCUCGUCCACCGGUACGCUGCCACCCCAGGUCUUUCCUGGCGUUGCCAACAAAGCUCAGAGCCACCAAGGUCAGCCCGACGGUCAUUUAUUUAUUUUUCCUUUUCCGCAUGGAUGGCUGCCUUCGAUAGUUGCCCUUUGGACAUAACCGCGUGAGACUGUAAGAAAGCUGAGGAACGUAGCGAGACAUGGGGGACAGGCUUAAGGAGGAGCCCGUCUGUGACAGCCACAGAGACUCGAGUGCGUGCAACCGCCUAAGGAAUUGGCCAGGAACUUGCUGCGGCUUGGAAUGGGUUCAUGGUGGGUUCCCCAAAGCCUCGUGUGUCACCAGUGUGCUUCUCUGGGCAGCCGUGUGACGAGGCACUGGGACUUUGAAGGGGUGGGGCCUGAUGGGAUUUCUGAAGUCCACUGAGGGCGCGCCUUUGGAAAGGACCGUAGAUCCGCGGCUUCUCUUGACGUGUUUCCUCUUGCACUCGCUCUGGCCAUCGGCCACAGGGCCUUUGCCCAAGCUGCUGCCAGGCUAUUUGGAUCUCCCGUCUCCAAAACAGUGCACUCAAUCUACGUCUUUUCUUUAUAAAGUAAGGGUGCCUCGGGUAUUUCAUCAUAGUCACAUAAGACAGACGGAUGCAGAACACUUUUACACCACGAGUUAAACCUAGGUCAUCAGAACCAGUUUUUGAGUGAAGCAGAAAAAAUGGAGACGGGUCGGCCACAGGCACGAUUUAGGCUGCCUUCAAAUCACAGUGGAGGCUGAUCACGUCACGGGGGGAGCUGAGUGGAAGCUUUCUUCCUGGCACCCAGGAAGCUCUUGGUGGCUGCAAUGGGGUGAGCUGGCCUCUCUGCACCCAGCACCCAGUGUGCACAGUCACAGCACCCAAGAGGCCAGGGAAGGACCGUCAUUGAAGCCUGAGGAGAAGGACUUACCCCCUGGGAACGGGACGUUUC